rnacentral:lncRNA from 1 species
CAAGUGGAGUCUUUUUUACAUUGACGUUACAGGAAAACUACGAUUAAUCCAAUCACUAAACCACAUCCUGGAUGCCUUUUAAUUGAAUGAGGUAAAAAAAACUUUAGGAAGACCUUGGGAACGAAUACUUUCUUUGCCCAAGUAAAUGGGUGGAGACACGUUGAUCAAUUGAUUGAAGCACGUUAGUUGUUUUGAUAAUAUCAAACAUCAGAGGCUUCUUGAUACACUAAAACAAGAUAUUCUAGAUGAACAACAGUUAAUUCGUGCUUUCCUCACUACAGAUAUCAUAGAUAAAGAUGGAAAGAACCACUCCCCCAUAGGUAAAGGGGGGGAAGGGAUUCCCACAAGGAAGUAGUAUCCCUGGGUCAAUCAUAUUCCCUUGGUUACCUAGCUAUGUGUGGAACAUCCAGGGGGCAAUGUUCGGAGCAAAUAGAUGCCACUGGUCCGAGCUAAGGGUUAUCCC